CGCAUACUAGUGAGAAAUACUUAACAUUCCAAAAUCCAUUCUACUCUCUUUGCAUGGCCAUAAAUGUUAAUUUAUGUUAUGACAACUAGCCAUAUUUCUAAUUAUGUGGUGGUCAGCUGAUAUAGCCUAUAAUAGGUGCAUAUCAAGGCAAGAUUGAAGAGGCAUAAAAUAUAUAUUUACAUUUUAGUUUUACUGAGGAGGAAAUCAAUUUCUCAGAUUUCCUUUUUCUUCUUCAUAACUUAAAGGACAAUAAGCAUUGGCACAGAUCAACCAAGCGGUGCUAAUGGGGAUGUGAAGGGAAAGAGAGUGAUUGUUGAGAUCAUAAUUCCUGUAGGGUUCUAGGGGAUGAGAUCACCUAAUGCAAUAGACAACACACUGUUGACCUAAUCUUCAAUACUGCCAAAGGAAGUAAGACUUAUAAGGUAAUGAAUAGACAGAACUGAACCUUCCUUUGGGACAGAGGUGCAAGGCCAAUUACGGAACAAGGCAUAUUUCAGACAACUGAGGGACAGCGCUCACAGCUCUAGCAGGGUAGAGCUGGAAAGGAAUCAACAAGUGUCAGUUUGGCUCUCUGAAGCAUUGCGUUUUUGAUGGAGUGAUUGAGCUUAAUGCUCUUACAAAGAUCUUACACAUUUAGACUUUCCUCUUGACAUUAGACAAAAAGUAAGGUUUGUGACCCAGUCAAUCUAGAAGCAUUUAUUGAGUGGACUAAAAAAAGUUUAGCAUUGUAGAAGCAAAAUGAUAGCUAUGAAGAACUGUCAAAACAUGCUUUGUAAUGAGGAGACUUACUCCAUUUUUUGAUGUCUGACUGUUGAUAGAUUUUUCAGCCUCACCCCUCUGAUUUUCCUUGUAGCAACAUCUGUAUAAGCUCAUUAAAAAAAAAACCUGGGUGCUUUUCCUUUGGCGCCAGUGAAACAUUCAACCCAUGAAAACCCCUACUCAUAUGCAAUGCUCACCCUGAUCCCACCCUGAAUCCUAAUGGAGACCCAAGCCAGUCACCUUUCCUGGCCCUUGAAACCAUUUCUGACCUGCAUGAGAGGCCUUCCCUGCUCUCCCAGAGACCUCAAUUAUGUGAGUAGAAGAGAUAAGCUGAGGCAGGUAAGAAAGUGUCAGUGUUGAUUUUCACUCUGGGGUGCACUAGUCUGGAGGAAGGGAAAAGCAGCAGUGCCCAAGGCUGGCCCUCCAUUUCCCUACAGUGACUCCAGGAUAAGGGGAUUGAACCAUGUGAGUUGCCGUUUUUAAUCUUAGGGAUUUUUAAAUACUGGAUUGUUAAGUGAUUUUCUCCAUGCAUGUAUACAUGUCAGUCAUUAGUGAUUUCUAAUAAACAAUCUUGGUGUAUUUUUUUCAACAGUUUGUAUUGGGGGGAUGGAUAAAAAGUAUGCAUCAAAAUUUACUAUCAAUGUUUAAGUGUACAGUUCUGUGGCAUUAAGUACAUUCACAUGGAUGUGUAACUAUUACCCUAUCCAUCUCCUGAAUGUUUUCAUCUUCCCCAACUGAAACUCUGUCCUCAUGAAAGACUAACUCCCCAGCCCCCUCCCCGGUCAUCCCCUGGCAACCACUCUUCUGCAUUUUAUCUGUCUGGAUUUGACUACUCUAAGAACUUCAUGUUAAGUGGAAUCAUACAUAGACGUCCUUUUGUGACUGGCUUAUUUCACUUAGAAUAAUGUCCUCCAGAUUCAUCCAUGUGAUAGCGCAUGUCAGAAUUGUCUUCCUCAUUAAGGCUGAUUACUAAUCACUUGUAUAUCUAUACGACACUUUGCUCACCUAGUCAUCUGUUGAUGGGCAACCUGGGUUGCUUCUACCAUAUGGAUUUUCCAUUUUAAAAAUGCCCUUUACUUACCCCAAAGUAAACUUAAUAGCUU
ensembl:lncRNA